rnacentral:RNase_P_RNA from 1 species
UCAGUCGGUCGGGCAGCCGCGCCUGUCAUGUGCCGAAAGGCGGCAGGUGAGGAAAGUCCGGGCUCCAAGGAAACACGAUGCCGGGUAACGCCCGGCGGGGGCGACCCCAGGGAAAGUGCCACAGAAAGCAAACCGCCCCGUCUUCCGUACCGUUUCGGGUAAACGGCAGGGAUGACGGGGUAAGGGUGAAAGGGUGGGGUAAGAGCCCACCGCGCCGGCAGCAAUGCAGGCGGCACGGUAAACCCCAUCGGGAGCAAAACCGAAUAGGGACGGCGCGUCGGCUCGAAAGGGCAGGCAAUCGGUUUCCGGAUCAGCCGUCCGGGUGGGUUGCACGAGGCGGGUGGCGACAUCCGUCCCAGAUGAAUGGCUGCCGCGCCGGGCGCAAGCCCGGCCGUACAGAACCCGGCUUACAGACCGGCUGACUAU